UACAGCCAUAUCACGUUAAAACACCGAUUCUCGUAUGAUCGCCGAAGUUAAGCAAAGUUGAGCCUGGUUAGUAGCUAGAUGGGUGACCGCU